AAAUCCCUUUGUUUAUGAACCCUAGUCACACCUCCCUGCAUGUGACUUGCACAGCCUUCCAUAAACACUUCCUGUAAAGAGAGCCCUAUUUAGGCUUUCUUUAUUGCAAGUUCUGUUUAAUUAAGAUUUUUUAUCCCCUGCUAUGUUAAUAGCUUGCUAGACCCUGCAAGAGCCUCCUGUAUGUGAUUAAAGUUCAAUUUAGAGAUUGAGAUACAAUUAUUUAAGGUAAAUUACAUCUGUUUGAAAGUGAAACCAGUUUUUUUUUUUUCAUGCAGGCUCUGUCAGUCAUAGCCAGGGGAGGUGUGGCUAGGGCUGCAUAAACAGAAACAAAGUGAUUUAACUCCUAAAUGACAGUGAAUUGAGCAGUGAAAUUGCAGGGGAAUGAUCUAUACACUAAAACUGC
rnacentral:lncRNA from 1 species